AUUGAACGCUGGCGGCAGGCUUAACACAUGCAAGUCGAGCGGGGUGAUGGUGCUUGCACUAUCACUUAGCGGCGGACGGGUGAGUAAUGCUUAGGAAUCUGCCUAUUAGGGGGGGACAACAUCUCGAAAGGGAUGCUAAUACCGCAUACGUCCUACGGGAGAAAGCAGGGGAUCACUUGUGACCUUGCGCUAAUAGAUGAGCCUAAGUCGGAUUAGCUAGUUGGUGGGGUAAAGGCCUACCAAGGCGACGAUCUGUAGCGGGUCUGAGAGGAUGCUCCGCCACACUGGGACUGAGACACGGCCCAGACUCCUACGGGAGGCAGCAGUGGGGAAUAUUGGACAAUGGGGGGAACCCUGAUCCAGCCAUGCCGCGUGUGUGAAGAAGGCCUUAUGGUUGUAAAGCACUUUAAGCGAGGAGGAGGCUCUUUUGGUUAAUACCCAAGAUGAGUGGACGUUACUCGCAGAAUAAGCACCGGCUAACUCUGUGCCAGCCGCCGCGGUAA
rnacentral:rRNA from 1 species